ACUGCGAAUGGCUCAUUAUAUAAGUUAUCGUUUAUUUGAUAGUACCUUACUACUUGGAUAACCGUGGUAAUUCUAGAGCUAAUACAUGCUUAAAAUCCCGACUUCGGAAGGGAUGUAUUUAUUAGAUUAAAAACCAAUGCCCUUCGGGGCUCUCUGGUGAUUCAUGAUAACUUCUCGAAUCGCAUGGCCUUGCGCCGGCGAUGGUUCAUUCAAAUUUCUUCCCUAUCAACUUUCGAUGUUUGGGUAUUGGCCAAACAUGGUUGCAACGGGUAACGGAGGGUUAGGGCUCGACCCCGGAGAAGGAGCCUGAGAAACGGCUACUACAUCCAAGGAAGGCAGCAGGCGCGCAAAUUACCCAAUCCCGACUCGGGGAGGUAGUGACAAUAAAUACUGAUACAGGGUUCUUUUGGAUCUUGUAAUUGGAAUGAGUACAAUUUAAAUCCCUUAACGAGGAACAAUUGGAGGGCAAGUCUGGUGCCAGCAGCCGCGGUAAUUCCAGCUCCAAUAGCGUAUAUUAAAGUUGUUGUGGUUAAAAAGCUCGUAGUUGAACCUUGGGCCUGGCUGGCCGGUCCGCCUCACCGCGUGUACUGGUCCGGCCGGGCCUUUCCCUCUGUGGAACCCUAUGCCCUUCACUGGGUGUAGCGGGGAAACAGGACUUUUACUUUGAAAAAAUUAGAGUGCUCCAGGCAGGCCUUUGCUCGAAUACAUUAGCAUGGAAUAAUAAAAUAGGACGUGUGGUUCUAUUUUGUUGGUUUCUAGGACCGCCGUAAUGAUUAAUAGGGACAGUCGGGGGCAUCAGUAUUCAAUUGUCAGAGGUGAAAUUCUUGGAUUUAUUGAAGACUAACUACUGCGAAAGCAUUUGCCAAGGAUGUUUUCAUUAAUCAGGAACGAAAGUUAGGGGAUCGAAGACGAUCAGAUACCGUCGUAGUCUUAACCAUAAACUAUGCCGACUAGGGAUCGGACGAUGUUAAAAAUUGACUCGUUCGGCACUUACGAGAAAUCAAAGUGC
rnacentral:rRNA from 1 species